GAUGAACGCUGGCGGCGUGCCUAAUACAUGCAAGUCGAGCGAACGGACGAGAAGCUUGCUUCUCUGAUGUUAGCGGCGGACGGGUGAGUAACACGUGGAUAACCUACCUAUAAGACUGGGAUAACUUCGGGAAACCGUAGCUAAUACCGGAUAAUAUUUUGAACCGCAUGGUUCAAAAGUGAAAGACGGUCUUGCUGUCACUUAUAGAUGGAUCCGCGCUGCAUUAGCUAGUUGGUAAGGUAACGGCUUACCAAGGCAACGAUGCAUAGCCGACCUGAGAGGGUGAUCGGCCACACUGGAACUGAGACACGGUCCAGACUCCUACGGGAGGCAGCAGUAGGGAAUCUUCCGCAAUGGGCGAAAGCCUGACGGAGCAACGCCGCGUGAGUGAUGAAGGUCUUCGGAUCGUAAAACUCUGUUAUUAGGGAAGAACAUAUGUGUAAGUAACUGUGCACAUCUCGACGGUACCUAAUCAGAAAGCCACGGCUAACUUCGUG
rnacentral:rRNA from 1 species